CAGUAGCCGCGGUAAUACGGAGGGAGCUAGCGUUGUUCGGAAUUACUGGGCGUAGAGCGCACGUAGGCGGUUAUUCAAGCCAGAGGUGAAAGCCCGGGGCUCAACCCCGGAACGGCCUUUGAAACUAGAUGACUAGAAUCUUGGAGAGGUCAGUGGAAUUCCGAGUGUAGAGGUGAAAUUCGUAGAUAUUAGGAAGAACACCAGUGGCGAAGGCGACUGACUGGACAAGUAUUGACGCUGCGGUGCGAAAGCGUGGGGAGCAAACAGGAUUAGAUACCCCUGUAGUCCCUGUCUCUUAUAC
rnacentral:rRNA from 1 species